rnacentral:rRNA from 1 species
CAAAACAUCGCCUCUUGCAAAGCUAAAGAAUAAGAGGUCCCGCCUGCCCUGUGACUAUUAGUUUAACGGCCGCGGUAUUUUGACCGUGCAAAGGUAGCGCAAUCACUUGUCUUUUAAAUGAAGACCUGUAUGAAUGGCACAACGAGGGCUUAACUGUCUCCUCUUUCAAGUCAAUGAAAUUGAUCUCCCCGUGCAGAAGCGGGGAUAUAAGCAUAAGACGAGAAGACCCUAUGGAGCUUUAGACACCAAAGAAGAUCCUGUCAAAUAAACCCCCCCCCCACAAGGGCCCGAACUAAUGGAAUACUUCCCUAAUGUCUUUGGUUGGGGCGACCGCGGGGAAACAGAAAACCCCCACGUGGAAAGGGAGCACCCCCUCCUACAACUAAGAGCCGCGGCUCUAAUUAACAGAAUAUCUGACCAGUAAGAUCCGGCAAUGCCGAUCAACGGACCGAGUUACCCUAGGGAUAACAGCGCAAUCCCCUUUUAGAGCCCAUAUCGACAAGGGGGUUUACGACCUCGAUGUUGGAUCAGGACAUCCUAAUGGUGCAGCCGCUAUUAAGGGUCCGUUUGUUCAACGGUUAAAGUCCUACGUGA